UAAUUCGAUGCAACGCGAAAAACCUUACCCACCUUUGACAUGUACGGAACCCUUUAGAGAUAGAGGGGUGCUCGAAAGAGAGCCGUAACACAGGUGCUGCAUGGCUGUCGUCAGCUCGUGUCGUGAGAUGUUGGGUUAAGUCCCGCAACGAGCGCAACCCUUGUCAUUAGUUGCUACAUUCAGUUGGGCACUCUAAUGAGACUGCCGGUGACAAGCCGGAGGAAGGUGGGGAUGACGUCAAGUCCUCAUGGCCCUUAUAGGUGGGGCUACACACGUCAUACAAUGGCUGGUACAAAGGGUUGCCAACCCGCGAGGGGGAGCUAAUCCCACAAAGCCAGUCGUAGUCCGGAUCGUAGUCUGCAACUCGACUACGUGAAGUCGGAAUCGCUAGUAAUCGUGGAUCAGAAUGUCACGGUGAAUACGUUCCCGGGUCUUGUACACACCGCCCGUCACACCAUGGGAGCGGGUUCUGCCAGAAGUAGUUAGCUUAACCGCAAGGAGGGCGAUUACCACGGCAGGGUUCGUGACUGG
rnacentral:rRNA from 1 species